rfam:Ovis aries breed Texel chromosome 2, whole genome shotgun sequence.
UCCCUGGUAGCUUAGACAGUAAAGCGACUGCCUGCAAUGCGGGAGACCCAGGUUCAAUCCCUGGGUUGGGAA